rnacentral:rRNA from 1 species
GCAAGUCGAACGAAGUAGCAAUACUUAGUGGCAGACGGGUGAGUAACAUGUAGGUAUCUACCCUUGGCCUGGAAUAACACGAGGAAACUUGUGCUAAUACCGGAUAAGUCUUUACGGAGAAAGCUUUAUGCACCAUUGGAUGAGCCUGCACUUGAUUAGUUUGUUGGUAGGGUAAUGGCCUACCAAGACUGUGAUCAAUAGCUGAUUUGAGAGGAUGAUCAGCCACAUUGGGACUGAGACACGGCCCAAACUCCUACGGGAGGCAGCAGUGGGGAAUCUUGCACAAUGGAGGAAACUCUGAUGCAGCGACGCCGCGUGAGUGAAGAAGGCCUUUGGGUUGUAAAGCUCUUUCGUCGGGGAAGAAAAUGACUGUACCCGAAUAAGAAGGUCCGGCUAACUUCGUGCCAGCAGCCGCGGUAAUACGAAGGGACCUAGCGUAGUUCGGAAUUACUGGGCUUAAAGAGUUCGUAGGUGGUUGAAAAAGUUGGUGGUGAAAUCCCAGAGCUUAACUCUGGAACUGCCAUCAAAACUUUUCAGCUAGAGUUUGAUAGAGGAAAGCAGAAUUUCUAGUGUAGAGGUGAAAUUCGUAGAUAUUAGAAAGAAUACCAAUUGCCAAGGCAGCUUUCUGGAUCAUUACUGACACUGAGGAACGAAAGCACGGGUAGCGAAGAGGAUU